rnacentral:rRNA from 1 species
CAUGCAUGUCUAAGUAUAAACGCUUCUAUACUGUGAAACUGCGAAUGGCUCAUUAAAUCAGUUAUAGUUUAUUUGAUGGUUCCUUACUACUUGGAUAACCGUAGUAAUUCUAGAGCUAAUACAUGCAGAAAGUCCCGACUUCUUGGAAGGGAUGUAUUUAUUAGAUCCAAAACCAGCGCGAGUUUCCUUCGGGGGCUCGGUUGCAUGGUGAUUCAUGAUAACUGCUCGAAUCGCAUGGCCUUGCGCCGGCGAUGAUCCAUUCAAAUUUCUGCCCUAUCAACUUUCGAUGGCAAGGUAGUGGCUUGCCAUGGUGACAACGGGUGACGGAGAAUUAGGGUUCGAUUCCGGAGAGGGAGCCUGAGAAACGGCUACCACAUCCAAGGAAGGCAGCAGGCGCGCAAAUUACCCAAUCCCGACUCGGGGAGGUAGUGACAAUAAAUAACAAUGCUGGGCUAUCGUAGUCUGGCAAUUGGAAUGAGUACAAUCUAAACCCCUUAACGAGGAACAAUUGGAGGGCAAGUCUGGUGCCAGCAGCCGCGGUAAUUCCAGCUCCAAUAGCGUAUAUUAAAGUUGUUGCAGUUAAAAAGCUCGUAGUUGGAUUUCGGGGCAGCCCGGCUGGUCCGUCGCGAGGCGAGUACUGGUCGGCCGCCCUUCCUCUCGAAAGCCCCGACUGCUCUUCACUGUAGUGGUCGGGGAGUUCGGGACGUUUACUUUGAAAAAAUUAGAGUGUUCAAGGCAGGCCAUCGCCUGAAUACAUUAGCAUGGAAUAAUGGAAGAGGACCUCGGUCCUAUUUUGUUGGUUUCUAGGGCCGAAGUAAUGAUUAAGAGGGACAGUUGGGGGCAUUCGUAUUUAAUUGUCAGAGGUGAAAUUCUCGGAUUUAUGAAAGACGAACAACUGCGAAAGCAUUUGCCAAGGAUGUUUUCAUUAAUCAAGAACGAAAGUUAGGGGUUCGA